UACGAAGGGGGCUAGCGUUGUUCGGAAUUACUGGGCGUAAAGGGCGCGAAGGCGGUGUGUCAAGUCAGGCGUGAAAGCCCCGGGCUCAACCUGGGAACCGCGCUUGAGACUGGCACGCUCGAGUUCGGGAGAGGAUGGUGGAAUUCCCAGUGUAGAGGUGAAAUUCGUAGAUAUUGGGAAGAACACCGAUGGCGAAGGCAGCCAUCUGGACCGACACUGACGCUGAGGCGCGAAAGCGUGGGGAGCAAACAGG
rnacentral:rRNA from 1 species